GAUGAACGCUGGCGGCGUGCCUAAUACAUGCAAGUCGAACGAAACUUCUUUAUCACCGAGUGCUUGCCCUCACCGAUAAAGAGUUGAGUGGCGAACGGGUGAGUUACACGUAGGCAACCUGCCCAAAAGAGAGGGCUAACACUUGGACACAGGUGCUAAUACAGCAUAACCAUAGUUACCGCAUGGUAACUAUGUAAAAGGUGGCUAUACUACCGCUUUUGGAUGGGCCCGCGGCGCAUUAGCUAGUUGGUAGGGUAAAGGCUUACCAAGGCAAUGAUGCGUAGCCGAAUUGAGAGGUUGAUCGGCCACAUUGGGACUGAGACACGGCCCAAACUCCUACGGGAGGCAGCAGUAGGGAAUCUUCCACAAUGGGCGAAAGCCUGAUGGAGCAACGCCGCGUGGGUGAAGAAGGUCUUCGGAUCGUAAAACCCUGUUGUUAGAGAAGAAAGUGCGUGAGAGUAACUGUUCACGUUUCGACGGUACCUAAUCAGAAAGCCACGGCUAACUACGUG
rnacentral:rRNA from 1 species